rnacentral:rRNA from 1 species
GAUGAACGCUGGCGGCGUGCUUAACACAUGCAAGUCGAACGGUGAAGCGCCAGCUUGCUGGUGUGGAUCAGAGGCGAACGCGUGAGUAACACGUGAGCAACCUGCCCCUGUCUCUGGAAUAAGCCCUGGAAACGGCGGCUAUAACUGGAUACGAGAAGGUGACGCGUGGGCACUAUAUGGAAAGUUCUUCGGUUGUGGCUGGGAUCGCGGCCUAUCAGCUUGUUUGUGAGGUAAUGGCGCACGAAGGGGACGACGGCUAGCCGGCCUGAGAGGGCGACCGGCCACACUGGGACUGAGGCACGCCGCAGAAUCCUACGGGAGGCAGCAGUGGAGAAUAUUGCGCAGUGGGCGAGCGCCAGAUAUAGCGACGCCGCGUGAGGGAUGACGGCUUUCGAGUUAUGAACCUCUUUCAGAAGGGAAGAAGCGAAAGUGACGGUACCUGCAGAGGAAGCACCGGCUAACUACGUG